AUGGCGUCCAGAGAUCUCCGGCGGCUGCUCGACGGCGCAGCCCUCGUCGCCCGCGAGGCCGCCAGGCGCUCCUCCGGGCCCGAAGUUCUCAGGUCCGCCCUCCUCGCCGCCACCGACCUCGCGGGCCUCACCAGGGGCACCCCUCGCCGCCCGCAGCCCGUUCCCCUUCCUCAUGAAUCCCACCCCGAGGGAGCAGACUCAUCUCGCCCCUCGUCUUCCUCCGUCGUGUACUUCUCCCACGACGACGCGCCGCCGGUCGAACCCUCAUUGGAGCAGCAACCUCCGCCGCGAGAAUCCCUCGACCCCGCCCAGACGCGGGAGAUCACCGGCAUCCAUUCAACCGCUGCAGCCGCAGCCGUGGCUGAACCUGAAGCCGUGGCGGUAGCUAGACCGGAAGACGAGGCAGUUCGCCCUGAGCUCUCACCGUCUUCCACGCCCACGCCCUCGCCCCCGCCCCCGCCCCCGCCCCCGCCUGCUCCUGUGCUGGUGGAGAAGAGGCGCCGGCCAAGGGAGCGGAAUGUUCCCUCCACACCGUUCACCCGAGCCCUCGGGUUUGCAGGUCUGGGUGCCGGGCUUGCAUGGGGUGGUCUACAGGAAUCAGCCCGGCGGGUGAUGUAUGGCACACCUGUUGGGGAUGGCAAGCAGUCAGCACUCUCGCCGUUCUUGUCCGACCAGAACGCUGAGCGUGUCGCCCUUGCGCUGUGUCGGAUGCGGGGAGCAGCGCUCAAGGUGGGACAGCUGCUGAGCAUCCAGGACGAAUCGCUCGUGCCCCCGCCGGUGUUGGCAGCUCUUGAUAUCGUUCGUCAAGGUGCCGAUGUUAUGCCGAGGAAGCAGCUGAAUUCUGUCCUUGAUGCCGAGCUUGGUCAAGGUUGGUCCUCUAGGCUGAGGAGUUUCGACUAUGAACCUUUGGCUGCAGCGAGUAUCGGACAGGUCCAUCGGGCGGUCUUGAAGGAUGGUUCAGACGUUGUGAUGAAAAUACAGUAUCCUGGAGUUGCUGACAGUAUAGAGAGUGAUAUUGAGAAUGUUAGGCGACUCCUGACUUACACAAAUCUCAUCCCUAAAGGCCUUUUCCUUGAUAGAGCUAUAAAGGUUGCAAAGCAAGAGCUGGCAAGGGAAUGUGAUUAUUUCUUAGAAGCAAGCAACCAGAAGCGGUACAAAGAAUUGCUCUCUGAUAGUGAGGGCUAUUACGUCCCUAAUGUCACUGACGAAUUGUCGAGCAAAAAGGUGUUGACAUCAGAGUUUGUUCCAGGAGUUCCUAUCGAUAAGGUGGCAGUACUAAGCCAGGAAACCCGCAAUUAUGUUGGAUGUAAACUUCUCGAGCUUACGAUAAAGGAGUUGUUUGUCUUCAGAUUUAUGCAGACUGAUCCAAAUUGGAGUAAUUUCCUUUAUGAUGAUUCAGAAAAGCAAUUUAAUCUUAUCGACUUUGGGGCAGCCCGUGAGUUCCCUAAAAAGUUUGUAGACGAUUACCUACGUAUGGUAGUUGCCUGUGCAAAUAGAGACAGAGCUGGUGUGUUAGAGAUGUCCCGCAGACUGGGAUUUCUCACGGGUGAGGAACCAGAGGUCAUGCUGGAUGCUCAUGUCGAGGCGGCCUUCAUCGUCGGGGUGCCAUUCGCAACACCUGGUGGUCAUGAUUUCCGCGCAAACAACAUCACACACAGCGUUUCAAACCUUGGGGCUACCAUGUUGAAGUACAGGCUGACUCCGCCUCCGGAUGAAGUUUAUAGCCUCCACAGAAAGCUGUCAGGUGCGUUCCUGGCCUGCAUCAAGAUUGGCGCAGUUGUCCCCUGCAGAGAGAUGCUGUUCAAGGUUUACGAGCAGUACGAUUUCAGUGAUGAUCACUCGGAAGUGUUGUCCAACACUGGAUAA
rnacentral:rRNA from 1 species